rnacentral:lncRNA from 1 species
GGAAAAGAGUUCACAAGAAGGGUACUUGACAACAGAAACUAACCCAAAUUCCAGAAGAUCAGAGAUGUAUAUAGAACUCCUUGAAGUGAUCAUCAGUUGCUUCUGUCUGCCCAGCAUCCCUUUCCCCUUCCUCUGCAAGGAUGGCAGCACUUGGCAGCUAGGAUAAGUGGGCAAAUAUCCCCUCUGAUUUAAACCACAAAUAUAAUCAGAAGAUAUGAUGCCUGGAGGUGGAGCAGCCAUUGUGGAACCAUGAGGAUAAAAACACACAUUAAGGCUGGCACCGAAGGAAACUAGAAGGAGCUUGGUUCCGACACGAUAUUCUUGAGCAAUUAGAGCCAAUCUAGAGUGGUUUUCUCAAGACUUCUUACUAUGUGAAACCAAUAGCCCCUUAUCCAAUAAAGCCACUGUUUCUCAA